rnacentral:rRNA from 1 species
GACGAACCGUGCAAACGUUGUUCGGAAUCACUGGGCUUAAAGGGCGCGUAGGCGGCUUGCCAAGUCAGGGGUGAAAUCUUUCGGCUUAACCGGAAAAGUGCCUCUGAUACUGGCGAGCUAGAGGGAGGUAGGGGCAUGUGGAACUUCCGGUGGAGCGGUGAAAUGCGUUGAUAUCGGAAGGAACGCCGGAGGCGAAAGCGGCCCGCUGGACCUCUUCUGACGCUGAGGCGCGAAAGCCAGGGGAGCGAACGGG